rnacentral:rRNA from 1 species
GAUGAACGCUGGCGGCGUGCCUAAUACAUGCAAGUCGAGCGAACGGACGAGAAGCUUGCUUUUCUGAUGUUAGCGGCGGACGGGUGAGUAACACGUGGAUAACCUACCUAUAAGACUGGGAUAACUUCGGGAAACCGGAGCUAAUACCGGAUAAUAUUUUGAACCGCAUGGUUCAAAAGUGAAAGACGGUCUUGCUGUCACUUAUAGAUGGAUCCGCGCUGCAUUAGCUAGUUGGUAAGGUAACGGCUUACCAAGGCAACGAUGCAUAGCCGACCUGAGAGGGUGAUCGGCCACACUGGAACUGAGACACGGUCCAGACUCCUACGGGAGGCAGCAGUAGGGAAUCUUCCGCAAUGGGCGAAAGCCUGACGGAGCGACGCCGCGUGAGUGAUGAAGGUCUUCGGAUCGUAAAACUCUGUUAUUAGGGAAGAACAUAUGUGUAAGUAACUGUGCACAUCUUGACGGUACCUAAUCAGAAAGCCACGGCUAACUACGUGCCAGCAGCCGCGGUAAUACGUAGGUGGCAAGCGUUAUCCGGAAUUAUUGGGCGUAAAGCGCGCGUAGGCGGUUUUUUAAGUCUGAUGUGAAAGCCCACGGCUCAACCGUGGAGGGUCAUUGGAAACUGGAAAACUUGAGUGCAGAAGAGGAAAGUGGAAUUCCAUGUGUAGCGGUGAAAUGCGCAGAGAUGUGGAGGAACACCAGUGGCGAAGGCGACUUUCUGGUCUGUAACUGACGCUGAUGUGCGAAAGCGUGGGGAUCAAACAGGAUUAGAUACCCUGGUAGUCCACGCCGUAAACGAUGAGUGCUAAGUGUUAGGGGGUUUCCGCCCCUUAGUGCUGCAGCUAACGCAUUAAGCACUCCGCCUGGGGAGUACGACCGCAAGGUUGAAACUCAAAGGAAUUGACGGGGGCCCGCACAAGCGGUGGAGCAUGUGGUUUAAUUCGAAGCAACGCGAAGAACCUUACCAAAUCUUGACAUCCUUUGACAACUCUAGAGAUAGAGCCUUCCCCUUCGGGGGACAAAGUGACAGGUGGUGCAUGGUUGUCGUCAGCUCGUGUCGUGAGAUGUUGGGUUAAGUCCCGCAACGAGCGCAACCCUUAAGCUUAGUUGCCAUCAUUAAGUUGGGCACUCUAAGUUGACUGCCGGUGACAAACCGGAGGAAGGUGGGGAUGACGUCAAAUCAUCAUGCCCCUUAUGAUUUGGGCUACACACGUGCUACAAUGGACAAUACAAAGGGCAGCGAAACCGCGAGGUCAAGCAAAUCCCAUAAAGUUGUUCUCAGUUCGGAUUGUAGUCUGCAACUCGACUACAUGAAGCUGGAAUCGCUAGUAAUCGUAGAUCAGCAUGCUACGGUGAAUACGUUCCCGGGUCU